rnacentral:rRNA from 1 species
AUCGAACGCUGGCGGCAGGCCUAACACAUGCAAGUCGAACGAGUGGCGGACGGGUGAGUAAUGUCUGGGAAACUGCCCGAUGGAGGGGGAUAACGACUGGAAAAGGUAGCUAAUACCGCAUACCAUCGGAUGUGCCCAGAUGGGUUUAGCUAGUAGGUGGGGUAAAGGCUCACCUAGGCGACGAUCCCUAGCUGGUCUGAGAGGAUGACCAGCCACACUGGAACUGAGACACGGUCCAGACUCCUACGGGAGGCAGCAGUGGGGAAUAUUGCGCAAUGGGCGAAAGCCUGAUGCAGCCAUGCCGCGUGAAUGAAGAAGGUCUUCGGGUUGUAAAGUACUUUCAGCGGGGAGGCGUUACCCACAGAAGAAGCACCGGCUAACUCCGUGCCAGCAGCCGCGGUAAUUC